UAUAAGUCUCAAAACGCUUGCUCUGCGCCAGUGGAUACACACCAUAGACAGUAAAAGAAAUAUGUGCAUGUCACAGACUGUCUGGGCAUGCACUUCCGCGUUUCAGAGAUCCGCCUUUUACUUUCCGUCAACAUUACAUUAAUUAACGUUUAGAAAAUUUAUUUUUGACAUUUGUGAAUCAGUUCAGAAUCGUCUGCUUAUGCAUUGCGAUACAUUUAAGAAUCACAUUUUUAUCCCACCCCUACUAAAUAUAGAGACACUUUGACAAGUGGGCACUGGAUGCUGAGUAUGGAAGGCGAGGUGGUGUGUGAGGGCACUCAGCCCAGUUUCCUGUCCGGCCUUGCCACUCUGUUUGCUGCUUAUUACUAGUUUAAUCUUGAGUAUCAGGAGGAAGCAGUGUGUACCUUGGAGUUCAUUCAAAGGUGCUUUGUGGGCAUAAAUCCAGAGAGAGGACCCAAAGCCAAGGGAAAAGUGCCAUCGAAAUAAAAACAGGACAAGUGAUACAGAAGAAAAUGUGUGGCAGUCAACCCACAUGUUGCCACUCUUCUGUGCAAAUUCCAAUGGAAUUUCUGAAAUUCACACUUUGAAUCCUGGGAUGGAACUUCAUCUGGAGCAUAAUUGUUAUUUGGUUGAUUUUUAUCUGUUUGAUGGAAAGUUUGUAUGACUUCUGCAAGUGCGCGGCUCCUUCCGGUCAGUCAUGCAUCACUUUUUUUUGUUAGGGGUGCUCCGAUCACGAUCGGCCGAUCGUUAAUGCGCAUUUCGUCAGUAAAGCCGGUUUUCUAAUCAGCGGUUAAUUCCAUCAGGUGCGUGAUUUCACAUAGAGCAGCUGUUACUACACAGAGCCGUUGUUAACUGAGAAGAUGGGCCAAUAAACGCUGAAAAUUAACGUGAUUUGCGCAUCUUCUCUAUUAACAACGGCUCUGUGUAGUAACAGCUGCUCUAUGUGAAAUCACGCACCUGAUGGAAUUAACCGCUGAUUAGAAAACCGGCUUUACUGAGGAGAUACGCAUAACGAUCGGCCGAUCGUGAUCGGAGCACCUCUAUUUUUUGUAUGACUUGUUUGGCAAUAUUGGUCUAUUCCUUAAUGAUGAUAGCUAUCUGAAAAUGUCUUUGUGGUUUUUAAAGGAUUAGUUCACCCAAAAAUGAAAAUUAAGUCAAUAAUUACUUAUGUCGUUCCACACCCGUAAGAUCUUCGUUCAUCCUCACAACACAUAAUAAGAUGUGGCUCAGUGAAGCGUGCAUUUCUAGCAAGAUCAUUUCUUUUUUUCAAUGCCCAGAAAGCCUCUAAAACAUUUAAAACAAUUCAUGUGACUACAGUUGUUCAACCUAAAUAUUAUAAAGCGACGAGAAUACUUUUUUUGCCAACCCCCCCCCCCCACCCCCAUCUCCCAAAACAACGAUUUUAUUCAACUAUAUCUAGUGAUGGGCGAUCUCAAAACACUGCUUCAUGAAGCUUAGAAGCUUUACGAAUCUUUUGUUUCAAAUCAUUUGCUCAGAACGUGUAUCAAACUGCAAAAGUCACACGAACCAUUGAAAUUUCAAAACACUUAUGACGUAACGAAGCCUCAUUUACUGAAAUCAUGUGACUUUGGCAGUUUGAUAUGCUCUGAUUUGAACUGAAAGAUUAAUAAAGCUUUGAAGCUUCAUGAAGCAGUGUCAUCCAUCACGAGAUACUGUUGAAUAGUCAUUAUUUAGUUUUUUGGCACACAAAAAGUAUUUUCAUUGCUUCAUUACACUAAGGUUGAACCACUGUAGUCACAUAAACUGUUUUAAAUAUUUUUUUAGUACCUUUCUGGGCAUUGGAAAGGGAAAUGAUCUUGCUAGCAAUGUAGGCAUCACUGGGCCAUCAGGUUUUAUAAAAAAUAUCUUAAUGUGUGUUGUGAAGAUGAACAAAGGUUUUAAGGGUGUGGAAUGACAUGAGGGUGAGAAAUGACAGAAUUUUCACUUUUGGGUGAACUGUUUUAAUAUGACCAUGUUGGUCAUGUUUCGGUUAUAACGCAGUUUGAAUAUUUCUUUGUGUCAAGGUCCAUGAUGGCCAUUAUGUUCCAAGUAAUAAAAAAGAAAUCAUGCCAAAAUUUCAUAUCCAUUUAAAAAAAAAUGAAAUAAUUUUAAAAUAAAUAAAAAUGAGUUCAAAAUAA